GUGAGUCUUGAACUCUCUACAGAUAAGUAAUGAAAAGGUUCUAAUGAGGCAGAGAGAGAUCUCUGGUUUUGUGAGGAGGAGGUGCAGAAUGGCAUCCCCUGUGUCCAUGGGAAUGCUCCUGGAAAGGGCAACUAUUGGUUAAUUAGGGAAGAGCUCAAUGGCACGUAGGUGAAGGCUGUUGGCAGUGACCCUAACAGUACCUUCCCUGAACAUUCUAUUCUACCCUGGAGAGCCCUGAGCAUCCUCUUGAUGUCACCACUGUUGAGGCAACACCAACUGCCAUUUGGGGCAUUUGUACAGUGCCUCUGGGAUUCACAAAGACAUAUUGGUGAGACUGAGAAAGCUACUUGGGAGAGAGAAUGGACAGCCUAGAGAAGAGAGAGAGGCAGAAGGAAGCUGGUCAUCUGUCUCAGGAUAAAACAUCAAGAAAUAAAUGUUCCAGGGGAAGGAAUGACUGGAAAGGCAUCAUUUCAACUCAACCCUCACUGAGCAGGAUCUGGAGAUGAACAAGGUGGAGAAACUGACCAUUCAGCUACAGAUGAUGACCUGUUAGAGGAAUGAACUGCAUUGAAUCUUGGACCAUUAUACUAAUAAUGAUUUGAACAGCAGGAGAGAACAUCAGUCUCAAUGAAAUGCCAACACACUGUCAUGAACGAGUCAAGGCUGUGUUGCUUUAAGAGCAAGGAGGAAAGAUGAAAUGGGAAUAUUAACUACAUGAGCAUGUAGAUAGAAAACCAUCCAUUACUACAGUCAUCAGAACAAGAACUAAUUAGACAACUGCUGUCCUGAGAGCUGGAUUGUUUGGCCCCAUGGUCCUGGAUCUGAAGUGCAUCUCCUGCCCCUCUGCACAGAUUGAUUUGGGACAUUGUUUGUUUACCGGCCUCAAGUAAAUUCUGAGUGAACAAACAUAUCUAAAGACCCAGAAAUGAAGAUAAAUGACAGAGAAUAUAUUUCUGUGGACAAGAAACUGUGUCUGUUUCUUGAUCAAACUACAUCACAGUAUUUAUAUCGAUCGGAGCCAGCUCGCCAGAAGAGGUUAAAGAGGAGGGUUCGAAAACUUUUUGGAAGUCCGGAAGUUAAUGUUUGUCCUCAGGGAGAGCCUCUACCUAAUACCUCUGAAGAGCAAACACCCCGAAAGGUAAUCCCCACUGACUUGAAAAGUAACAUAUUUGUUUGGGAGGGGAAAGCUGCAUCUGUGUGCCCAUGUCUGCAGUAUUGCAGAUGGUGUCAGAAAAGAGGAGUCCAGCCUCAAACGUAUCCUGUCCCUCCUUCACACCCUCACUUCCAGGGACACUCUUGCCAGUCACCAUCUAUGGCCUAAGUGAAAAUAAGUUAGAUCAUAGAAAUAAAAACUCAAAAGUAAACAUGCUUUUAACACAAGUCAGGAGAACUCAUCAAAACAGAGAGAAUAAACAAUUAGACUCCUGGAGUAAUUACAGUCAACAUGAAAGUGAGCAAAAUGCUUGUGUUUUUGGAGACUUGUUCAUUUUAUGUGGAUGAAUGUUUUAUCUGCAUUCUGUCUGUGCACCAUGUGUGUGCCCACUGCCCACAGAGGUCAGAAGAGGACAUCAGAUCUCCUGGAACUGGACUUACAGAUGGUUGUCAGCUCCCAUGUGGGUGCUGUGAAUCGAUCCCGGGUCUUCUGCAAAAACAACAAGUAUUCUCAAGGCUGAGCCACUCUUCCAGCUCCCAGAAUGAAUGCUGGAGAUGCAAAUGAUUAGAGU